AAAAAAAAAAAAAAAAAAAAAAAAAAAAAGUAUUCCUGGAACAAGCUGCAGCAAAUGGACCAGUGCUGAAUGAAAUAUGACUGUGACCUUAAAAACAUUCUGGCUUGACACCCAAGGGACACCAGCAGUCCUCACCAGAUAUGAACUCUGACCACUUCUGGGAACCUUGACCUCCUGCCCUCCCUCCCCCAGUCCUUGUCUGAGGGGGUCACCACAUACAGGGCGCGUAGCCUCGUACAAGGGCUCUGCAGAGUGCCGCGGCCGGACACGUCCCACCAACCCAAUUAGGCCCCUCUUGAAAAGCUGGAGGAUGGGACCGAUCGAGAGAAGCCAUCAGAAAAGAGGGACUUCAGAAGCUGCGGACACUAAUACCAAUACCCAGCAGGAGCUGCGAGGCUGGAGGACGGCAGGACGGCAGCGAUGGGAAGACAAAAGGCAGACGGAAAUUGCUGUCACAAGGGUGGACGAGGCAAUCCAGAAUUGGAGUCACUGGAUCAAAGGGAAUUAGGAAAUCUGCUUUUCAAUAAUCCAAGGAUCAAAUAAGAAAUUACAAUGGAAAUGAGAAUAUAUUUUGAAUACUAAAAACAUGUCAAAGUUCAUGGGUUGCAGUUAAAGCCUUGUUUUAGAAGGAAAUUUAUCACUUAAGAAGUUAAUAAAGACUGAAAAUCAAUUCA
rnacentral:lncRNA from 1 species